AGCGUACACGGUGGAUGCCCUGGCAGUCAGAGGCGAUGAAGGACGUGCUAAUCUGCGAUAAGCGUCGGUAAGGUGAUAUGAACCGUUAUAACCGGCGAUUUCCGAAUGGGGAAACCCAGUGUGAUUCGUCACACUAUCAUUAACUGAAUCCAUAGGUUAAUGAGGCGAACCGGGGGAACUGAAACAUCUAAGUACCCCGAGGAAAAGAAAUCAACCGAGAUUCCCCCAGUAGCGGCGAGCGAACGGGGAGGAGCCCAGAGCCUGAAUCAGUGUGUGUGUUAGUGGAAGCGUCUGGAAAGGCGCGCGAUACAGGGUGACAGCCCCGUACACAAAAAUGCACAUGCUGUGAGCUCGAUGAGUAGGGCGGGACACGUGGUAUCCUGUCUGAAUAUGGGGGGACCAUCCUCCAAGGCUAAAUACUCCUGACUGACCGAUAGUGAACCAGUACCGUGAGGGAAAGGCGAAAAGAACCCCGGCGAGGGGAGUGAAAAAGAACCUGAAACCGUGUACGUACAAGCAGUGGGAGCACGCUUAGGCGUGUGACUGCGUACCUUUUGUAUAAUGGGUCAGCGACUUAUAUUCUGUAGCAAGGUUAACCGAAUAGGGGAGCCGAAGGGAAACCGAGUCUUAACUGGGCGUUAAGUUGCAGGGUAUAGACCCGAAACCCGGUGAUCUAGCCAUGGGCAGGUUGAAGGUUGGGUAACACUAACUGGAGGACCGAACCGACUAAUGUUGAAAAAUUAGCGGAUGACUUGUGGCUGGGGGUGAAAGGCCAAUCAAACCGGGAGAUAGCUGGUUCUCCCCGAAAGCUAUUUAGGUAGCGCCUCGUGAAUUCAUCUCCGGGGGUAGAGCACUGUUUCGGCAAGGGGGUCAUCCCGACUUACCAACCCGAUGCAAACUGCGAAUACCGGAGAAUGUUAUCACGGGAGACACACGGCGGGUGCUAACGUCCGUCGUGAAGAGGGAAACAACCCAGACCGCCAGCUAAGGUCCCAAAGUCAUGGUUAAGUGGGAAACGAUGUGGGAAGGCCCAGACAGCCAGGAUGUUGGCUUAGAAGCAGCCAUCAUUUAAAGAAAGCGUAAUAGCUCACUGGUCGAGUCGGCCUGCGCGGAAGAUGUAACGGGGCUAAACCAUGCACCGAAGCUGCGGCAGCGACGCUUAUGCGUUGUUGGGUAGGGGAGCGUUCUGUAAGCCUGUGAAGGUGUACUGUGAGGUAUGCUGGAGGUAUCAGAAGUGCGAAUGCUGACAUAAGUAACGAUAAAGCGGGUGAAAAGCCCGCUCGCCGGAAGACCAAGGGUUCCUGUCCAACGUUAAUCGGGGCAGGGUGAGUCGACCCCUAAGGCGAGGCCGAAAGGCGUAGUCGAUGGGAAACAGGUUAAUAUUCCUGUACUUGGUGUUACUGCGAAGGGGGGACGGAGAAGGCUAUGUUGGCCGGGCGACGGUUGUCCCGGUUUAAGCGUGUAGGCUGGUUUUCCAGGCAAAUCCGGAAAAUCAAGGCUGAGGCGUGAUGACGAGGCACUACGGUGCUGAAGCAACAAAUGCCCUGCUUCCAGGAAAAGCCUCUAAGCAUCAGGUAACAUCAAAUCGUACCCCAAACCGACACAGGUGGUCAGGUAGAGAAUACCAAGGCGCUUGAGAGAACUCGGGUGAAGGAACUAGGCAAAAUGGUGCCGUAACUUCGGGAGAAGGCACGCUGAUAUGUAGGUGAAGUCCCUCGCGGAUGGAGCUGAAAUCAGUCGAAGAUACCAGCUGGCUGCAACUGUUUAUUAAAAACACAGCACUGUGCAAACACGAAAGUGGACGUAUACGGUGUGACGCCUGCCCGGUGCCGGAAGGUUAAUUGAUGGGGUCAGCGCAAGCGAAGCUCUUGAUCGAAGCCCCGGUAAACGGCGGCCGUAACUAUAACGGUCCUAAGGUAGCGAAAUUCCUUGUCGGGUAAGUUCCGACCUGCACGAAUGGCGUAAUGAUGGCCAGGCUGUCUCCACCCGAGACUCAGUGAAAUUGAACUCGCUGUGAAGAUGCAGUGUACCCGCGGCAAGACGGAAAGACCCCGUGAACCUUUACUAUAGCUUGACACUGAACAUUGAGCCUUGAUGUGUAGGAUAGGUGGGAGGCUUUGAAGUGUGGACGCCAGUCUGCAUGGAGCCGACCUUGAAAUACCACCCUUUAAUGUUUGAUGUUCUAACGUGGACCCGUAAUCCGGGUUGCGGACAGUGUCUGGUGGGUAGUUUGACUGGGGCGGUCUCCUCCUAAAGAGUAACGGAGGAGCACGAAGGUUGGCUAAUCCUGGUCGGACAUCAGGAGGUUAGUGCAAUGGCAUAAGCCAGCUUGACUGCGAGCGUGACGGCGCGAGCAGGUGCGAAAGCAGGUCAUAGUGAUCCGGUGGUUCUGAAUGGAAGGGCCAUCGCUCAACGGAUAAAAGGUACUCCGGGGAUAACAGGCUGAUACCGCCCAAGAGUUCAUAUCGACGGCGGUGUUUGGCACCUCGAUGUCGGCUCAUCACAUCCUGGGGCUGAAGUAGGUCCCAAGGGUAUGGCUGUUCGCCAUUUAAAGUGGUACGCGAGCUGGGUUUAGAACGUCGUGAGACAGUUCGGUCCCUAUCUGCCGUGGGCGCUGGAGAACUGAGGGGGGCUGCUCCUAGUACGAGAGGACCGGAGUGGACGCAUCACUGGUGUUCGGGUUGUCAUGCCAAUGGCACUGCCCGGUAGCUAAAUGCGGAAGAGAUAAGUGCUGAAAGCAUCUAAGCACGAAACUUGCCCCGAGAUGAGUUCU
rnacentral:rRNA from 1 species